rnacentral:rRNA from 1 species
GGCUUCGGCUGGAUUAUUUUUAUCACCCUUGUCUUUUGCGCACUUGUUGUUUCCUGGGCGGGUUCGCCCGCCACCAGGACCACACCAUAAACCUUUUUUAUGCAGUUGCAAUCAGCGUCAGUAUAACAAAUGUAAAUCAUUUACAACUUUCAACAACGGAUCUCUUGGUUCUGGCAUCGAUGAAGAACGCAGCGAAAUGCGAUACGUAGUGUGAAUUGCAGAAUUCAGUGAAUCAUCGAAUCUUUGAACGCACAUUGCGCCCUUUGGUAUUCCAAAGGGCAUGCCUGUUCGAGCGUCAUUUGUACCCUCAAGCUUUGCUUGGUGUUGGGCGUCUUUUGUCUUUGGCCUCGCCCAAAGACUCGCCUUAAAACGAUUGGCAGCCGGCCUACUGGUUUCGCAGCGCAGCACAUUUUUGCGCUUUGCAAUCAGCACAAGGACGGCAAUCCAUCAAGACUACAUUUUUACGUUUGACCUCGGAUCAGGUAGGGAUACCCGCUGAACUUAAGCAUAUCAAUAAGCGGGAGGA